rnacentral:rRNA from 1 species
UACAGAGGUCCCGAGCGUUGUUCGGAUUCACUGGGCGUAAAGGGUGCGUAGGUGGUGAGGUAAGUCGGAUGUGAAAUCUCCAGGCUCAACCUGGAAACUGCAUUGGAAACUACCUUGCUGGAGGAUUUGAGGGGGGAUUGGAAUACUUGGUGUAGCAGUGAAAUGCGUAGAUAUCAAGUGGAACACCAGUGGCGAAGGCGGCUACCUGGACAAUUGCUGACGCUCAGGCACGAAAGCGUGGGGAGCAAAAGGG